rnacentral:rRNA from 1 species
GACGUAGGUGGCGAACGUUAUCCGGAAUUAUUGGGCGUAAAGGAUGCGUAGAUGGUGUAGUAAGUUAUCGGUGGUAAAUCGAGGCUCAACCUCGUGGAAGUCGGUAAUACUGCUAUGCUAGAGGAUAGGAGAGGUUAACGGAACUCCCUGUGGAGCGGUGAAAUGCGUAGAUAUAGGGAAAAACACCAAUCAGGCGAAGGCAGUUAACUAUUCUAUUCCUGACAUUGAGGCAUGAAAGCGUGGGGAGCAAAACGG